AUUGAACGCUGGCGGCAGGCCUAACACAUGCAAGUCGAACGAGUGGCGGACGGGUGAGUAAUGUCUGGGAAACUGCCUGAUGGAGGGGGAUAACUACUGGAAACGGUAGCUAAUACCGCAUACCAUCGGAUGUGCACAGAUGGGAUUAGCUAGUAGGUGGGGUAAAGGCUCACCUAGGCGCCGAUCCCUAGCUGGUCUGCGAGGAUGACCAGCCACCCUGGAACUGAGACACGGUCCAGACUCCUACGUGAGGCAACAGUGGGGAAUAUUGCACAAUGGUCGCAAGCCUGAUGCAGCCAUUCCGCGUGUAUGAAUAAGGCCUUCGGUUUGUAAAGUACUUUCAGCGGUGAGGCGUUACCCGCAGAAGAAGCACCGGCUAACUCCGUGCCAGCAGCCGCGGUAAUUC
rnacentral:rRNA from 1 species